ACUCCAGUGACUGCCUCUCAGAAAAGAACAGGGCAAUGUCCAUUCUCCUUUUAUUUUCUUUAAGCACCUGAUCAUUCUAAAAGCAUGUGUUCCUCUGUGUGUGUGAGUUAUGUACACGUGUGUGUGUUUCCCUUUCUUUUCUCGAACUCCAGGCCCAUGACUGCUUAUUUGCAUGGUGUGUUACUGUCAAAGGUGGGUGAAAUGUCUUCUCCACAUACCCAGCUUCAUUCCACUCUAGGAGUUUAACUUCUCCAACAUAGUUGUGGGAUCCCUGGUGACCUCAGUUUCUCCUCUCCGCGUCAUCCAGGACUUCACCUGAAGCUUGAGCUACAUGUGAGGCUUCAUCUACCUUGGACAGGGCAAUGGAGAGAGGAUGGCAUACCAGAAUCACCAGACGACAGACAUUGGGGUCCCGUCGGACCCAGGAAUCAGAAUCUCUGCAGAUAGGUAUUUUGGAAGGUGCUCCGUAGAUUGGCACCUCUGAAUCCUGCAAGUAGACUGACAGCUGCAUGUUUGCAGGAAAGUUAAAUAUUUUGACAGUGCAGAAAAGUGCUGCAUCUGGAGGGUUCUGGGUCCAGCUAUAACCAGACUUGCCUGUCCUAAACAAAUGGAUUGACUGCUUCCGGCAUCCUCACUUGACUUCUGCAUGGUGACCAACAUCCGGAGCUUAAUUACCUGACAGCCAGGAGAUAACAAAAAUGUCACGUCUGAGCCCCUGACAGCAACCCCAGAGGAGCUCCAGGUUUGAGGCAGCGCUGGCAGGACGUGGUCUAUCUGCCAUCUGAAGCCCUUCAUUGCCCGCCUGGCUGUGAAUCUCACCUCCUCUAUAGUGGAAAACAGGCCGAACAGACCUGGCAGGCAGGUAAGGGACAGCAAACCUUGCAGGGAGGGCCUAGUGCUGAAGCUAAGCCAGCCCUUUGAGUUCAAGCUCAAAGGCAUGUGAUGCCAGCUUUCCAGGGGAGCUAAGAUUCUUCUGAGAAAAAGAAUGAGAGAGAGAUACGCAGCUGCAGUAGAGGACUUGGAAGAGAACAACGCCAGGGCCUGGAUCCUGCAAGAGUCUUCUCUGGAAAAGCAGGGGAGAGAAAAGCAAGGAAGGAAGCAGGGUCACCGCAAGUGUGGGAUUUGUCUUAUUAAAAUCUGAUACUGUGUGGCAGUUUGCUUCACUCUUGGUAUAAAAUGUCUGAGCUCCAUGUUAAAGUAAAUGUAGUAAUGUAAAAUCUGCCUUUCCCGAGGUGAAAAUAGAUCCAUAUUAUUUAAAAUAUGAACUGAGAUAGAUGACAGUUACAAACAUUAUACUUGUUCUUAUUAUAAUUCUUACUAAGCUCAAGGAAUAAAAACUGGGAUGAUGAAAAAGAA